rnacentral:rRNA from 1 species
AUUGAACGCUGGCGGAAUGCUUUACACAUGCAAGUCGAACGGCAGCACGGGGGCAACCCUGGUGGCGAGUGGCGAACGGGUGAGUAAUACAUCGGAACGUGCCCGGUCGUGGGGGAUAACGUAGCGAAAGUUACGCUAAUACCGCAUACGAUCUGAGGAUGAAAGCGGGGGACCUUCGGGCCUCGCGCGAUCGGAGCGGCCGAUGUCAGAUUAGGUAGUUGGUGGGGUAAAGGCCUACCAAGCCGACGAUCUGUAGCUGGUCGGAGAGGACGACCAGCCACACUGGGACUGGGACACCGCCCAGGCGCCUACGGGAGGCAGCAGUGGGGAAUGUUGGACAAUGGGCGCGAGCCUGGUCCAGCCAUUCCGCGUGCAGGACGAAGGCCUUCGGGUUGUGAACUGCUUUUGUAUGGAACGAAAAGGCUCUGGCUAAUACCUGGGGCUCAUGACGGUACCGUAAGAAUAAGCACCGGCUAACUACGUG